UUUCUUUUGUCUGGCGACCGGCGCACGGUGAGUAACACGUAUCCAACCUGCCCUUUACUCGGGGAUAGCCUUUCGAAAGAAAGAUUAAUACCCGAUAGCAUAAUGAUUCCGCAUGGUUUCAUUAUUAAAGGAUUCCGGUAAAGGAUGGGGAUGCGUUCCAUUAGGUUGUUGGUGGGGUAACGGCCCACCAAGCCUUCGAUGGAUAGGGGUUCUGAGAGGAAGGUCCCCCACAUUGGAACUGAGACACGGUCCAA
rnacentral:rRNA from 1 species